rnacentral:lncRNA from 1 species
AUGGAACUGGCCUCAUUGCAGUUGUUACAGGAGCUUCAAGUGAUCAUGGUUUGGAAACAACACGUGUUCUAUCAUUGCAUGGUGUUCAUGUCAUCAAGGCAGUAAGGAAUACAAAUGCAGGUAGGGAUGUUAAAGAAUCAAUACUUAAGGAAGUCCCCGCUACUAAUAUUGAUGUGGGAGUCUUUUGUCGGGGAGCCGGGUGGUGAGAUUGGAAAGACGAACCUCAUCCAUGACCAAGAUGGUUAAUUAAUGGCUGCAUC